AUGGAAGUGAUGACUAUUUCCCCAGAUGAUCGAAGCUGAAAUAACUGAGCUAUUACAUCUCUGUGUGUGUUACACACAGAGAUACCAAGCCAGGUGUUUCUGAUCCAU